CUUUAAAGGAUAGUAGCU
rnacentral:tRNA from 1 species